rnacentral:rRNA from 1 species
AGUUCGAUCCUGGCUCCAGAUUGAACGCUGGCGGGAUGCUUUACACAUGCGAGUCGAACGGCAGCACGGACUUCGGUCUGGUGGCGAGUGGCGAACGGGUGAGUAAUGUAUCGGAACGUGCCUAGUAGCCAGGGAUAACUACGCGAAAGCGUAACUAAUACCGCAUACGCCCUUCGAGAGAAAGCCAGGACCUUCGGGCCUCGCACUGGUAGAGCGGCCGAUAUCGGAUUGGCCUAGUUGGUGGGGUAACGGCUCACCAAGGCGACGAUCCGUAGCUGGUUUGAGAGGACGACCAACCACACUGGGACUGAGACACGGCCCAGACUCCUACGGGAGGCAGCAGUGGGGAAUUUUGGACAAUGGGGAAACCCUGAUCCAGCCAUCCCGCGUGUGCGAUGAAGGCCUUCCGGGUUAUCGCUUUUGGCAGGAAAGAAACGGCACGGGAUAUUGCGUGCAACUGACGGUACCUGCAGAAUAAGCACCGGCUAACUACGUGCCAGCAGCCGCGGUAAUACGUAGGGUGCAAGCGUUAAUCAGAUUACUGGGCGUAAAGCGUGCGCAGGCACGGUUCGGAAAGAAAGAUGUGAAAUCCCAGAGCUUAACUUUGGAACUGCAUUUUUAACUACCGAGAGCUAGAGUGUGUCAGAGGGAGGUGGAAUUCCGCGUGUAGCAGUGAAAUGCGUAGAUAUGCGGAGGAACACCGAUGGCGAAGGCGGCGCCUCCUGGGAUAACACUGACGCUCAUGCACGAAAGCGUGGGGAGCAAACAGGAUUAGAUACCCUGACAGUCACGCCCUAAACGAUGUCAACUAGCUGUUGGGGCCUUCGGGCCUUGGUAGCGCAACUAACGCGUGAAGUUGACCGCCUGGGGAGGCACGGUCGCAAGAUUAAAACUCAAGGAAUUGACGGGGACCCGCACAAGCAUUGGAUGAUGUGGAUUAAUUCGAUGCAACGCGAAAAACCUUACCUACCCUUGACAUGUCUGGAAUCCGAAGAGAUUUGGGGAGUGCUCGCAGGGGCGGAACACAGGUGCUGCAUGGCUGUCGUCAGCUUCGUGUCAUUGAGAUGUUGGGUUAAGUCCCGCAACAGGCAUAACCCUUGUCAUUAGUUGCUACGAAGGGCACUCUAAUGAGACUGCCGGUGACAAACCGGAGGAAGGUGGGGAUGACGUCAGUCCUCAUGGCCCUUAUGGGUAGGGCUUCACACGUCAUACAAUGGUCGGGACAGAGGGUCGCCAACCCGCGAGGGGGGAGCCAAUCCCAGAAACCCGAUCGUGAUCCGGAUCGCAGUCUGCAACUCGACUGCGUGAAGUCAGAAUCGCUAGUAAUCGCGGAUCAGCAUGUCGCGGUGAAUACGUUCCCGAGGUCUUGUACACACCGCCCGUCACACCAUGGGAGUGGGUUUACCAGAAGUAGUUAGCCUAACCGUAAGGAGGGCGAUUACCACGGUAGGAUUCAUGACUGGGGGUGAAGUCGUAACAAGGUAG